rnacentral:rRNA from 1 species
UACGAAGGGGGCUAGCGUUGCUCGGAAUUACUGGGCGUAAAGAGCUCGUAGGCGGUUUGUUGCGUCGGCUGUGAAAUCCCGAGGCUCAACCUCGGGCCUGCAGUCGAUACGAGCAGACUAGAGUGUUGCAGGGGAGACUGGAAUUCCUGGUGUAGCGGUGAAAUGCGCAGAUAUCAGGAGGAACACCGGUGGCGAAGGCGGGUCUCUGGGCAACAACUGACGCUGAGGAGCGAAAGCGUGGGGAGCGAACAGG